CUCUCCUUUCCUCCUCUAAAACGGCGAGAGACAGCAACUACUGGCCGGGGGGUUGUGAUUCGAAUUAGAUGAGACAGUACGUGUCCAAGCUUAGGACGGUGGUGGCACCGAAUAACGGUGGCUUCGCUGUGGGCAUGGCGAUUUCCCUCGCCGGCAUCCUUUUCACUGGAAGCCCGAGUGAAGACAGAGGAAGCACUGAGUCACCCCGCGCUAGUGCCUGGGGAUGUCCGCUGCAGCUUAUCCGAGAGACAGACACAGUCGUGCUGUCCCCGUGCAUCCUUCGCUUCACCACCCUUGAAUUCGGAAAGGGGAGGAAGAAGAGAUUUCUUGGCUCCUUGCAGCGUAUCCUCCGGUACAUACUACUCAGAGUGCUUUCCUUGUCUGCCAUCUCUUUUCAGUUAAUCAGGUUUCCUUCACUCAAUAAGUUUCUACUAAGAAAAUGUUCAAAUGUUUGUCGAAUAAACCCGAGAAUGUUUAGUUUGCUUCUUAA